ACGUUCAUAUACAUAAGCCCACACAAGCUUAUAUAUGCAAUAGACAAAAGGAAAUAAUAAGCACACACACACACACACACACACACACACACACACACACUCUCUCUCGCUGCAAGGUUUUUAUUCCUGUGAGUGCACUCAGCAAAGUGCACUGCUGCACACACCCGUUUAUGCUUAUAGCUGACCAUAUGCUGGAAGUAUAAUUACUUUGUGUGUGUGUGUGUGUGUGUGUGUUUGUAUGGCGGGGGCAUGUAUUUAUCGUUUAAUAGGGACCAAAUGUCCUCAUGAUGAUAGGAAUGAUGAAAUAAGGAAUUAUAUGACGGCUUUGGACUUUGUGGGGACCUUCCGCUUGUGCUCGUGACAAAAAGCGCGGCAUUUCUUUCGAAAAUAAAGAGACAAAAGGAUUUAAUUCAGGGUACUGAUGUUCAAAUGGAGGUGACAGUAAUAUAAAUGUGAGUGUGGUGUGUGUGUGUGUGUGUGUGUGUGUGCGCGCACGUGUUCAAUAUGCUGAAGCACCGCACUGACAGAACCGUGACAACUGCGUCACGACUGCUAUAAUUAAUUUCUCCGAUCAUCAUACUUGCAUGCAUUUUCUUUCACUUCCCGUGAUGGCUUGACGAUUUAGAGCGCUAAAAGGCGUGAACUCUCUCAGCCGCACUCACGAGAUGACCUGUUAUCAGGUAAACCCACCCAGAAACGUGUGGUGGCCUGGGAAAAAAAAUACACCUUUCACAUGGUCACAACCUGUGGCUCGACGCUACAGCCGGAACGACCGCAUCUUCUGACCAUAUGGUGGUUUAAAGAAUGACACGUUUACAGCGAGAAACGACUAGCCUCACUGUCGUCUUGCCAUUCAGCUGAUCAUCGGUGGGGAAAUGAAAUCGCUGAUUCAUUCGUUCCUGCUCUUUACGGAGUGUGUACGCGCUCUACUCUGUUUUUUUUUUUCUUUUCUUUUUUCUUCCCAAUAUUAAUAGUAGUAAUCAAAAUAAUGACGCAGGAGCAUAGCGGACAUUUUGACACAAAGUAUCUAAUUGCAAAAAAAAAUUUGGAUUAGGGCCAUUUCAUCGUGGGAUAUCUAACAGCGGGAUCAAAUCGUGAGGAAAUCACACCGAUUGAAGCCAAAUCAAAGUUAGAACGUAGACUAAAUAAAAAUGUUUUGGUGGGUUUUUAAAAAACAACAACAACAACAACAAAAAGUUCAAAGUGCUAUGUAACAAUCAUAUGUGCUUUCUGAGCAUCCAGAUAUAGUCCUCCCACUCUUCUGGGAAGGCUUUCCAGUAGAUUUUGGGGGCGUGGCCCUGGAUGAUUCGUGUUCAUUCGGUGUUCAAGAGCGUUACUGAGCUCAGGCCACGUCGUUGACUGGGGUGCAGUCGGCGUUCCCGUUCGUCCCAAAGGUGUUCGUCAGGGCUCUGUGCGGGACGACGGAUUGCAAGCCAUGUCGUCAUGGAGCUCGGUUUGUGCACAGUGGCACGGUUAUUCUGGAACAGGUUUGGGUCCAGUGAAGGGAAAUUUUAAAGCUAGAGUAUAUAUACAAAGUGUGUGCUUGCAACUUUGUGGAACAGGUUUGAGGAAAAACCGCAUGUUGGUGUGACAGUCAAGUGUCCACAUACUUUUGACCAUAUAUAUUGUAUAGUACUGUUUUUUUUUGUUUUUUUUUAAAAUAAUUUUUUGGCUUUUUUCCAGAAUUCAGCCGGGGUGACAUCUGCAGGGUUUUCCCCAGCCCACCGCACAUAAUAUGUAGGUGUACGAUUACUGACUGUAGCCUGACCCUUUCCAUUUAUGGCUGGGGUAGAGGGGGCUAAAAUUGUCCAUUGCAAUAGACGAGCUACAGUCAGAAAUUGUACACGCACAUGACAAGUGACUUAUAUGAUCAAAAGUGCCCAGUGAUUUCCGAUUACGAAUUCUGGAUUUCAUUCAUUCAUUCAUUCAUUCAUUCAUUCAUUUAUUUAUUUCAAUCUUUAGUCCUUUUUGUUUAAAUAAACCCUGCACUUGCGUCAAGCUGCUUAUCCUGGAUCCUGGCAUGACAGCUGCACUGUAAUGAAGAAUGAAGCACUGCACACACACACACACACACACACACACACACACACACACACACACACACACACACAUCUUUCCCUGGCCUCAUAACAUACCAGUACACGCGUUGUCUCCCUGAGGUACGGGUGUGUGCGCGUAAGGCUGCAGCAUUGCUCGGGGAACAUAUGUGUAUGAGUGUGUGAGCCUGAUCGUGAUGUAUGAGCGCGUAUAGGAAGGAGGGGUUUUACUGCGGAUCUUGGCCUCCUCCUCAGCCAUGCUAAUAAACAGCUACGGACUGUGGGCACAGGGAAAAAAAGAAGAAAAAAAAGAAAAAGAGAAUGAUACAGAUGAAGAGCGGGAGGAAAAAAAAUCCAGAAAGAAGAAGAGAGAGCGGAUGCGUGUAGGUGUGUGUGGGCGUCUGCAGCGUGUCCGUGUUACUCAUCGGGAGCGGACGGAAGCGUCCGCUGCUUUAAAAGGUGUCGCUCUGCAAAAUAUUAAAUGGAGAUGAAGACCGACCGGAAAACGUCAGAGGGAGCACGAGCGACGCAGAGAAUGCAGACAGAGGGGAGCGCGUUCGAGCAAAUAGUGACGGCCAGGGAAUUCAAGCGGACGCCACCUGCCUGCCUGCCUGCAUAUGUGGAAGUGCCCUUACACAAGUGUGGAUUUGCCUCGGUUGCACCCAGCCGCCUGCGCCUCUGUUUCGACCCCAGCCGUGGAUUCAGACCAUUAUUCUUGGUUAUGUCCUAAUAAAGAGACUCAGCACUGGCCGGCUGCAUUAUCGCUCCUGUGUGUUGCGUGUAAUGGCCACCGAGGACACUGAUGCAGCUGAAAUUUUUUGUCUUUUUGGCACUUUCAAAUUCACUAGCGCUGAGAACCUUAGUAUUAUAGCCAUUAAAUUAAAAUGAAGAAAAUGUC